rnacentral:rRNA from 1 species
GGAGGGGGAUAACUACUGGAAACGGUGGCUAAUACCGCAUAACGUCGCAAGACCAAAGAGGGGGACCUUCGGGCCUCUUGCCAUCAGAUGUGCCCAGAUGGGAUUAGCUUGUUGGUGAGGUAACGGCUCACCAAGGCGACGAUCCCUAGCUGGUCUGAGAGGAUGACCAGCCACACUGGAACUGAGACACGGUCCAGACUCCUACGGGAGGCAGCAGUGGGGAAUAUUGCACAAUGGGCGCAAGCCUGAUGCAGCCAUGCCGCGUGUAUGAAGAAGGCCUUCGGGUUGUAAAGUACUUUCAGCGGGGAGGAAGGUGUUGUGGUUAAUAACCGCAGCAAUUGACGUUACCCGCAGAAGAAGCACCGGCUAACUCCGUGCCAGCAGCCGCGGUAAUACGGAGGGUGCAAGCGUUAAUCGGAAUUACUGGGCGUAAAGCGCACGCAGGCGGUCUGUCAAGUCGGAUGUGAAAUCCCCGGGCUCAACCUGGGAACUGCAUUCGAAACUGGCAGGCUUGAGUCUUGUAGAGGGGGGUAGAAUUCCAGGUGUAGCGGUGAAAUGCGUAGAGAUCUGGAGGAAUACCGGUGGCGAAGGCGGCCCCCUGGACAAAGACUGACGCUCAGGUGCGAAAGCGUGGGGAGCAAACAGGAUUAGAUACCCUGGUAGUCCACGCCGUAAACGAUGUCUACUUGGAGGUUGUGCCCUUGAGGCGUGGCUUCCGGAGCUAACGCGUUAAGUAGACCGCCUGGGGAGUACGGCCGCAAGGUUAAAACUCAAAUGAAUUGACGGGGGCCCGCACAAGCGGUGGAGCAUGUGGUUUAAUUCGAUGCAACGCGAAGAACCUUACCUGGUCUUGACAUCCACAGAACUUUCCAGAGAUGGAUUGGUGCCUUCGGGAACUGUGAGACAGGUGCUGCAUGGCUGUCGUCAGCUCGUGUUGUGAAAUGUUGGGUUAAGUCCCGCAACGAGCGCAAC